GGCUCUUCCGGGGCCCGCCCGGCCCUCUGCGGCUCGGAGCGGCCCCGGGGAUCGCCCUGCUGUCGCCUCCAUCUCUCCUCCUCGCAGACUCCGCGGCGCAUCCCGUACGAGGAGGCUGUCGUGCAGGAAUUCGGGCCGGCUCAAGUGGGAGAGUCUGUCGGGCCCACGAGGCUCCCGUUCCAGACCUGCGGGCUGUGCAUUGGCUGCCAAUGACUCGUGGCCCCUGGGGCUGUGACUCCCACCCCGGCUCCAGGUCCCCCCUGCAGCCCUGCGCCCCGGCCUCUCUCCACAGCAGGGAAGGAGCUGUGGUGACAGGAGGAGAGAAUCUGGAACUAGGUGAUAUUUAAGGUCCCUUCCAGCCCAGGCCCUUCUGUGGUUCUGUGAACCUGCUGUCCCAGAACACAGUGAGUCCCUGGAGGGGCUGAAGCCAUAGCAGAGCCCUGCUCGUGGCUCCCUAUUCAGGGGUGUAGGACUAGCAGCACGGAUUUUUGCUAGGAAAGCCACCUCUUUUUGAGGAGACAUGGUGCAGUGGCUUACAAAUCAGUGCUGACUUCUUUAUUUUUAAAUUCAGAAUCUUCCCCCACAUUUUAAAUAUCUGCCAGUGUUAAAUUUCUCUACUUAAAAAAAUAUAUAUCCCAUAUGUGAAUUUCUGGAGUGAAAUGCACCAAGACCCCCCCCCCCCCACCCCCAGUCCCUCCUCCUUCUCUUGCCCACACACACACACACAUACACACAGACAGAGCAGCUCUGUCAAUACUGGCUUGGUAUUUCCCAUGAUGUUUUCUCCAACACAGAAAGGGAAAAAUACAUCAGCACAAUCAGCCCCAGCUGAGUUGCUCAGCAACACUUCCCAAAAGCGAAGAUCCUUGGAGCUGGAAGACAAGGUGGAUAAAAAUUACCCACCAGGAAAAAAGCCAAACAUUUUAAAAAAUUAAAAUUAUAUACUCUA